GCUUUCAUUGGUCAGACACUCAUGACGUUGAGAAAGUAAUUAUAGUCAAGCACGAAACCACAAAGAAAGGAUCUCCCUUCAGCCGGACGGAAGGAGAACUUGAAAGUUAUCAAAAAACCCCAAACGACUAACAGGGACAAUCAAAGGGUGAGCACAGAGGAUACACACCACCUUCUACUUGCUAUGGGCAUGCCAAUUAUAAAUAAACCAGAAGCAAACCCUGUUUCUGCUGAUCAUGCUGAAGUCAGCAGCAGCACCAAAGUGACCGGUCAUGACAGUUCUCAAGAAGUGUCUUCCGCAACAAUGGUACAGAGUUCAUCAUCAACAGAAUCAGAUAACCACUCAGUUUUGUCAAGCUUGAAGCCAGCAGUUGGCGAACAGCCUGUUCCUGCACCAAAGCCUAUAUGCCGCCAGCCUAGUCUUGUUCGGCAACAAGAGCGACCAUGUAGUGCUCCACCAGAAUCAUUAGAGAAUUUCUCUCACUCAAUUUUGGGUGCAAUUCGAGAUGGAAAUAAUGAGAUAUCACAGGGUCAGUCAUGGCGAAUUAUUGCCGACCAUAUGACUUUUGAGACAGAUAUUCACCGUGCUUUAAGCACUAGUUAUCUAAGCGAGCUAGCGAAAUGCACAAAUGGUCGCAGAUGAUGGCAGUCAGCAUUAGAAAUUUAUCCUUGUACUGAAGUUACAGUUGCUUAACAAAGACCUUCCAGAACAUUUCUUGUGUGGGGAAAAACAAUGUACAAAUGACUGGAUAUUUGAAUAGAUAAGGCAUUCUGGGAAUCAUGUGUGCCAAAUCCUAAAGUGCAUACAUUUAAAAGCAUGCCUAACAGAAUGAUUUUGAUUUUAAGAAGAUUUUGUAGUUGUGACAGCUAUGCCGAAAGUUUCUAUGGGGAAGAACCAUAUUAGUCUUAUCUUUUAUUAAUUACUAACACCUGCCUAUCUAAGACUUAUUAGGAAGACUAACAAGUUAAAAAUUCUUCUUUUUGGUCCUAGUCGCCAACAGUGGAGCAUAGGGCCACAGACAAGUUAAAAUAGUGUGACUAUAUUUUCUAGGAUUCUCCAGCAGUAGAAAACUAGUAAAAAUCCCACAGGCAUUUAGAUUUUACGCAAUGGUGACAACUGGAAGCAGGUGGUCUAGUGGUGUUGUGAUUAAAUAUUUGUCUUCUUGAGAGGAUUAUGGGAAAUGUCCAACAGACAUUAUUUCUUGAAUAAUAUGACAUGUUUUUUGUCAUAGCUAUCGCCUUGGUAUUCUGGCCUUUUCCUUUCUUCCUUCCCAACUCCCAACAGAUAAGUUGCACUUGUUACUCUAGUCGCCAGAGUGUAAAAUCAUCACAAGGUGAAAGCAUUUUAAAACAAACCAAAUCAUCAUUAUCUAUUGAUAAGAGGUCAUGGAGAUGAAAAAUAGCUGCUGCUGUUUAAAGUUUUAAAGGAUUUUUUUAUGUUGGAACAAAUAGUAUACAUCUUGAAGUUUAGUGAGAUAUGUUUGGACAAAAAGUAGGCAGUCACUGUCAGUUUGGUUAGAUCUACAUUAUCCAUUAUUUUAAAUGAUGUUAUGUGAUAUGCAUUUAUUAUUCAUAUUUAUUUCUUGUUAAUUUGGCAUCUAAAGAUGAUUUUUUAAAUAAUUUUUCUUUAAAAAAAAUUAAAAGAUCCCUAUAAGGAAGUGAUGAUUCAUAUCAUUUAACUUGCAUUUAACUAUUUUAGGUAUUUUUAUUUUUUUAUGCUGAUGGAGUUUACCACAUCAUAUUUCAACAAAUUGCUUUUAAUUUUUUGUUUUCUGUUAUUAUUUGCUGGUCUUAUUUUUACAUAUAAAGUAAGUGAAUGAUUUAGCAAUAUUUGACUGUAGGGCAGUGUGAUAACACAGUGAUCACAGAUUAUAACUACACGAUCUUCCAUUUUGUUUCCUUUUUAUCUAUACAUGCUGAACUGUAAAAGCUCAGAUGAGCUGCUAAUGGAGGCAUCUUUUUGUUUUGUGCAUGGAAGGACAUUUUUGUGCUUGUAGCAAAUGGUCCUAGUGUAAAGUGGAAUGUGGUUUUUAAGAAUUGUUAAAUGCAUUUUUUUUUUCUGCAGUAAUUUGGCAAAAUGCUAUGCUGCUUGCAGUUGUGCCAAAUGUGCACAUUUGAGGCCCUUUUUUAAAGGAAAAAAAACCCACUAGUUGCAUAAAGUUUCGACGGAUGAUCAAAAAUAUAUCUUGAAUUCUAAACAAGAGUAGUUUUAUAGAAAUCUUUAUAAAAUAUUUACAUUGUUUGUUCAUGACACCUACGUACCCCACGUACAUGUACAUGCAUGAACGUACGUUGCACAUUGGUCAAUGAAAAGUAGGUACAUUUUGGGGGAUUAUAGUUUCUUUUUAUGAUUGUCCUUAAUAAAAUGGUGAAUUUUGUUAUUACAUGUACUAUCAAGAUCAAUCAUAAAUUAUCUGCUUUAAGGUAGGGUAUUAAAUUGUAAAUAAAGGCAUUGCUGUGAUAUAAAUAUAAGGUAAACUCUAUUUUAGGUUCCUUAUAUUGAACCAUGCAUAUCCUAAAUGCAAACAAUUGAUAAACGUAAGCAUGGUGUCUCUAGAAUCAUUUAAAGAGCAGCUGAAGAUUUAGGAUUCUGUUCCAAUUGUGUGUCAGAGGUCAGUGUCUAAUAGGGUUUUAAAUUCUUAUAAAAAUAUUGAGUGGUACAUUUUGGAAGGAAACUUUUUUUAUCAUGAAUACAAAUUUUGGAGACAAUAGAGAUAGUUUAUUGUUACAACUUUGGAUGAGAAAUUUUAAUAAAAGAUUGCCAGUUUAAUGGCUUGUACCCAACAAAAUUCAUAUAAAAUAUUUUAGCUUGUUUCUUUGCAUGAUGUAGACUAAGGGAGAUGAUGGUGUUCUGAUGGUGACUGUCGGGUACUGUUGCCAGUCUUCUACCAAGAUAACUGCCCUUUGUGACAAAAUAUUGCAUACUUGAUCCAUUUGCUGAGAUUCAUACAUUCAUUUUCAUGUGUAAAUAAAAUAUUUUCUGUAAAACUUAA
rnacentral:lncRNA from 1 species